rnacentral:rRNA from 1 species
GUGUCAGCCGCCGCGGUAAUACGUAGGUGGCGAGCGUUGUCCGGAUUUACUGGGCGUAAAGCGCGCGCAGGUGGCCUGUCAAGUCUGGGGUGAAAUCUCCCGGCUCAACCGGGAGAGGUCUCUGGAUACUGGCAGGCUUGAGGGCAGCAGAGGAGAGCAGAAUUCCCGGUGUAGCGGUGAUAUGCGUAGAUAUCGGGAGGAAUACCAGUGGCGAAGGCGGCUCUCUGGGCUGUCCCUGACGCUGAGGCGCGAAAGCGUGGGGAGCAAACCGGAUUAGAUACCCCUGUAGUCC